rnacentral:rRNA from 1 species
GACGAACGCUGGCGGCGUGCCUAAUACAUGCAAGUAGGACGCAGUUGCGAACGGCUGAGUAAAGCGUAGGUAACUACCUAUUAGAGGGGGAUAACUCUUGGAAACGAUAGCUAAUACUGCAUACUAGUACAUGGACCUGCGUUGUAUUAGCUAGUAGGUAGGGUAAUGGCCCACCUAGGUAAAGAUACAUAGCCGACCUGGGAGGGGGAUCGGCAACACUGGGGCUGGGACACGGCCCAGACUCCUAAGGGAGGCAGCAGUAGGGAAUCUUCGGCAAUGGGGGGAAGCCUGACCGAGCAACGCCGCGUGAGUGGAGAAGGUUUUCGGAUCGUAAAGCUCUGUUGUUAAGGAAGCGGUACUUAACCAGAAAGGGACGGCUAACUACGUGCCAGCCGCCGCGGUAAUAC